GGACAACUGCAAGAAAAGAAGCUUGUAAGUUGCCCGAGUGCUUAGAUCCCUUUUACCCCUCCUGGGCUUGGCAUAUAGCCUAACUUCUUAGAUUAUUAUAUUUUCUCAUUUUUUUACAGUUGUUUGAAGCCAUGCUUCACUAGUCCCUCUACAAUCAUCAUUAACUUUAGGUGUAUGAUUUUCAUGAAAGAAUUUGGAAUUCUAAUGUUCUGUUUAGCUUAUUACAAUUCCACUAAAGACUUAAUUGUUAUAGUGAAUUGGAAGCGAAGGAUAACAAUAUUAAUAAUGGAUGCAUUUUGUAUGAUAUUAGUGUUUAUAAAUAACUAGAUCAGUGGAGCAUGGUAUUAGGGAAUUGUCUCAAAUUCUUUACUCUCAUGUUCCAGUAAUGGUCGUAAUGGCCAUGAGUGCCUUUCUCCACCUUCUUCUCAUCCUCUUUUCCUUUUUUAUUUGUCUUUGAAAAGUGUUUGUUAGUCUUGUCUGUGGAUGGGGAGAACUGGUAAGGCUUGAGAACUCAUCUUGUGGGACUUGCAAAAUAAUGAGGCUUGGACAAAGGAAUUUUUCCCUUGGCAGGUUGCACCUUGCCUAUCAUUUUUUUGGGGUAUGGACUUGGGACUUUGAACUUUGGUCCGGCUCACUUGACUGUGUGAUGUUACAAUAAAAUAAUUAAGUUAUAAUAAAAUAUAUGGGGCCAGGGCAAAAGCCUAAGCCUGCUCCACUAGGCUAUUUGUAGAGCUGGGCUUCAGUUUAUGUCAAGCCCAAUCCAGAAUUGUGCAAGCUUAUGAGUGUGUCUAGGGUGAUCAAGAUGAGUAAGUUAAUGCAAAGGCAUAAUCUGCUGUCUUGUUCUGAUAAUUUCUGCAUUUUUGCUUUAUUUUUCAACUAGGGUUCCUUGCUGGGUUAAAUUUUUUGUGUGCUACUUUAUAGGGUGAAUACUCAGACAAGCAUGAAAAUUGCUGCUGUUAUAUUCUAGCACGGGAUGAAUUGAGAAUCCUGGGGAUAUAGGGGCAUCCUUUGCCUAGUUUUCGAUGGUUGAAAACCUGUUUAUCUAGUUAGUUGAGCUAAAUAAGAGGAGCCGAUUAUUCUUAUAAUACACUAUUGCAUAUACUUCUGUUAUUACUUUAGAGUUAAAAUUACUUAAGGUAAAUCAUCACAUAAAUCCUAAACUUGGAUGCUCUUUGCAAAUUUGGCCAAAACCUCAUAAAUAAAUUGUGUCCACAACUUCCUUUAUUGCAAUCAAUCCCCUUCAGGCUUGUUUUGGACUUCUUGUAGUAAUUCAAUUUUGCAACUCACUAUGGAAGUCGUGGUCUGAAUUUGUUAUUUCCAAAUUUUUGGCAAGUUGCAUACAAAUCAAAGGCCAGGAUGUAUUGAUACUGCCCAGGUUCUAAGAAAAAGAAAAUAAGAACCUUGUGAAACUAAUACUCAAGUUCCAGCAAUUGUUUCAUGACCCUUUUAUCUAGUUUUCGUUAUUUCAAUCUUGUUUCCUGUUUGGUGUGAAAACAUGGACUUUAUAUUUAUUUACUGGAAUUUUCUUGUGUUUAAUGUCAAUCUUAAUUUCCCAAGUGUGCAGUCAUCCAAUUGCCAUCA
rnacentral:misc_RNA from 1 species